rnacentral:rRNA from 1 species
CCUACGGGGGGCUGCAGUGGGGAAUAUUGGACAAUGGGGGGAACCCCGAUCCAGCCAUGCCGCGUGUGUGAAGAAGGCCCACGGGUUGUAAAGCACUUUCAGUGAGGAAGAACGCCUGGUGGUUAAUACCCAUCAGGAAAGACAUCACUCACAGAAGAAGCACCGGCUAACUCCGUGCCAGCAGCCGCGGUAAUACGGAGGGUGCGAGCGUUAAUCGGAAUUACUGGGCGUAAAGCGCGCGUAGGUGGCUUGAUAAGCCGGUUGUGAAAGCCCCGGGCUCAACCUGGGAACGGCAUCCGGAACUGUCAAGCUAGAGUGCAGGAGAGGAAGGUAGAAUUCCCGGUGUAGCGGUGAAAUGCGUAGAGAUCGGGAGGAAUACCAGUGGCGAAGGCGGCCUUCUGGACUGACACUGACACUGAGGUGCGAAAGCGUGGGUAGCAAACAGGAUUAGAUACCCUAGUAGUC